GAAAGUUGUUUUAUAACUUUUUAUUUGCAAUCGAGAUCUAGAAUUUUAAACCUAACAAUAGUCUAUCACUCUUCCCCGAUUUCGCAUCCUUUUUCACUAGUUAUUAUCCCAGAUUGCGUUCAAAUUGAUCUUGGUCAGUUGAAGGUUAUGAAACUUGAUUUUUUUUUAGAAUUGAUUUUGAUGGAUUGAAGGUUUUGAAAGUUAUUGCAUUUUAAUUUGACUAUAUGACUAUAUCAAAAUCAGUUUACCAGAUAUAUAACCAAGAUCAAAAGGUGUCUCCUAGAUCCCUGAGGAGUGGUGAGAAAGAAAACAUUCUUAUUGCUAUAAGAUGUCAAGAAUAUACUCAAGAAAUUUUUAUGAGAGAAUAAGACCAUUACUACCACAUAAUUAACACCCAAGACCAUUUAUGGUGAAAUUGACAUUGUCGUAGAAAUAUUUGUCAUAGUUGGAAUUCAAUUUCUUACCGAGGCUUAGAAACUUCAAUAGACUAUGAUUCUCAAAUAGUUUCAGAUACUACAUGUUUAAAGGAGCUAUUUCUUCCUUGUAACACCAUAUUCAGUUUCAUGCCGCUUUUUCAUAAACGGCUCAAAAUACCUUUUGUGUUUAUCUUUAAAUAUAAGAUGACUCUCUCUC